CGAGCGAGCUGAACAGCAGAUUCACUUCGGUGAUGACGCUGGGAACGCUAGCGGCGGAUGGGUGAGUAACACGUGGGUAACCUGCCCUAAAGUCUGGGAUACCACUUGGAAACAGGUGCUAAUACCGGAUAACAACAAUAGCUGCAUGGCUAUUGCUUAAAAGGCGGCGAAAGCUGUCGCUAAAGGAUGGACCCGCGGUGCAUUAGCUAGUUGGUAAGGUAAUGGCUUACCAAGGCGACGAUGCAUAGCCGAGUUGAGAGACUGAUCGGCCACAUUGGGACUGAGACACGGCCCAAACUCCUACGGGAGGCAGCAGUAGGGAAUCUUCCACAAUGGGCGAAAGCCUGAUGGAGCAACGCCGCGUGAGUGAAGAAGGUUUUCGGAUCGUAAAGCUCUGUUGUUGGUGAAGAAGGAUAGAGGUAGUAACUGGCCCCUAUUUGACGGUAAUCAACCAGAAAGUCACGGCUAACUACGUGCCAGCAGCCGCGGUAAUACGUAGGUGGCAAGCGUUGUCCGGAUUUAUUGGGCGUAAAGCGAGCGCAGGCGGAAAGAUAAGUCUGAUGUGAAAGCCCCCGGCUUAACCGAGGAAUUGCAUCGGAAACUGUGUUUCUUGAGUGCAGAAGAGGAGAGUGGAACUCCAUGUGUAGCGGUGGAAUGCGUAGAUAUAUGGAAGAACACCAGUGGCGAAGGCGGCUCUCUGGUCUGUAACUGACGCUGAGGCUCGAAAGCAUGGGUAGCGAACAGGAUUAGAUACCCUGGUAGU
rnacentral:rRNA from 1 species